rnacentral:lncRNA from 1 species
CUUAUUACCUCAGUACAUGUGUGUUUUACAGGUAAAAAGAAAACCCUAUUUUCUUAAAUUCGUGUAUUACUUAUCUAGUACAUACAUGUAUAUUCGGAAGGCCUUGUUAUUUAAUUUAAACAGGAUGUUGCAAUUUUGAAUCAAUGUUAUUUAAAAUUUAAUACCUCUGGCCAGGUGUGAUCUUAUUUAUGAGUUUGCCCCCAAGCAGAGGUUAUACUUUAUAUUUCACCAC